rnacentral:rRNA from 1 species
AUGGCGGCGAGUAGUCAAACUGAGGAGAGCAUGAUGAACUACGAUUCUCCGGCGUGCGGCGGCGCGGCAGAGACGGUCAUCGAGGACCUCCCCACGGACGUGCUGUCCCUCGUGCUCCGCCGGCUCGACGGCGCGUCGCUGGCGGCGCUCGGCUGCGCGAGCUCCAGCUUCCACGACCUCGCCACCGACCCCGACACAUGGCGCGGACUCUGCCUCGCCUUGUGGCCGUCGGUCGCCGGCCUCCUCGACAAUUCUUGCUGCCGCGGCACCGGUGACGGCUUCCACCGGGCGCUCUUCGCCGACGCGUUCCCGUUCCCAGCGACAGCGGCGGCGGCGGCCACGGCCACGGUCGCGCCCGCCCUGCCCAGCCGGCUCGUCUCCGCCGUGGACCUGCACCACAAGGGGGUCUGCAUCAUAUCGCGCGUGGUGGAGACGGACGCCUCGUCGGCGUGGUUCCUGGGCUCGCCGUUCCGCGUCGACGCGCUCCUGCAGGAGGGCUUCUCGGCAGCGUCCUCGAUCACGCCGGCGGAGCUGACGCUGAGCUGGCUGCUUCUCGACCCGACGUCAGGCCGGGCGGUCAACGCCUCCAGCCGGCGGCCGGUGUCCGUUGACCGGAGCUGGCUCACGGGAGAGACCGUGGUGCGGUUCACCGUGGUGCUCGGCGGCGUCGCCCUGGACGCGGCCGUCACGUGCGACGACCGGUUUGGGCACGUCCGGGAGGUCAGCCUGUGCGUGGAGGACGGUGACGGCGGCGGCGUCAGCGGGCGGGACGGGCUGGCGGCGGUCGCCGCGGCCAUGGCCGCCCCGAGGCAGGGCCGGGGCGCGGAGGCGGAGGCACAGGCGGCGCGGCAGUACGGGGAGUUGGUGAAAGGGAAGAGCGCGCGGAAGGAGUGGAAGGCGAGGCGGGAGGGGCUCGUCGACCUCUGCUGCUCCGGCGUCGGAGCGGCGGCGUUCGUCGGGUUCCUGGUGAUGCUCACGUGCCGGUGA